rnacentral:rRNA from 1 species
CCUACGGGAGGCAGCAGUGAGGAAUAUUGGUCAAUGGGCGCGAGCCUGAACCAGCCAAGUCGCGUGAGGGAUGAAGGUUCUAUGGAUCGUAAACCUCUUUUAUAAGGGAAUAAAGUGUGGGACGUGUCCCAUUUUGUAUGUACCUUAUGAAUAAGGAUCGGCUAACUCCGUGCCAGCAGCCGCGGUAAUACGGAGGAUCCGAGCGUUAUCCGGAUUUAUUGGGUUUAAAGGGUGCGGAGGCGGCGUUUUAAGUCAGCGGUGAAAGUCUGUGGCUCAACCGUAGAAUUGCCAUUGAAACUGGUGGGCUUGAGUAUAGUUGAGGUAGGCGGAAUUCGUGGUGUAGCGGUGAAAUGCUUAGAUAUCACGAAGAACCCCGAUUGCGAAGGCAGCCUGCUAAGCCGUGACUGACGUUGAUGCACGAAAGCGUGGGGAUCAAACAGGAUUAGAUACCCUAGUAGUC